GAUGAAGAACGUAGCGAAAUGCGAUACGUAGUGUGAAUUGCAGAAUUCAGUGAAUCAUCGAAUCUUUGAACGCACAUUGCACCUCUCGGUAUUCCGGGAGGUAUGCCUGUUCGAGCGUCAUAUGUACCCUCAAGCUCUGCUUGGUGUUGGGUGUUUGUUCCGCCUCUGUGUGUGAACUCGCCUCAAAACAAUUGGCAGCCGGCGUACUUGUUUCGGAGCGCAGCACAUUUUGCGAUCCAGAUCAACGUACAGCGGCAUCCAAGAAGCCUUAUUUAACGCUCUUGACCUCGGAUCAGGUAGGGAUACCCGCUGAACUUAAGCAUAUCAAUAAGCGGAGGA
rnacentral:misc_RNA from 1 species